UACAGAGGGUGCGAGCGUUAAUCGGAAUUACUGGGCGUAAAGGGCGCGUAGGUGGUUACUUAAGUCAGAUGUGAAAUCCCUGGGCUUAACCUAGGAAUUGCAUUUGAAACUGAGUAGCUAGAGUAUGGUAGAGGGAAGUGGAAUUUCCGGUGUAGCGGUGAAAUGCGCAGAUAUUAGGAGGAACACCAGUGGCGAAGGCGGCUUUCUGGACAGUAACUGACGCUGAGGCGCGAAAGCGUGGGGAGCAAACAGGAUUAGAUACCCGAGU
rnacentral:rRNA from 1 species